rnacentral:rRNA from 1 species
AUGAACAGGACACUCACAAAGAGGGUCACAGCUAUGCUCUCUCAUGCUCAUUUACCUAAUUCCUUUUGGGCUGAAGCUUUGAUGAAUGCUAUGCAUGUGGUUAACCUAUCUCCCUCAGUUCCUCUUGCAGGUGAUAUUCCUCAAAGAGUUUGGUCAGGGAAGGAGGUAUCAUACAAGCACUUGAAGGUCUUUGGUUGCGGGGCAUUUGUACAUGUUCCAAGGGACGAGAGAUCCAAGCUUGAUAGCAAGACAAAGCAGUGCAUCUACCUCAGCCAACCAGUGAAGAGUUUGGCUACAGGUAGUGGGAUCCAGUAA